rnacentral:lncRNA from 1 species
UUUAAGAAUAAAUGUAGAUAUAUUAGCAUAGACAAUGACAGCUCCUGGUGGAGUCAGGGAACAACCAAAGGGUCUAUAAGUAUUUACACCAAGAGCUAAGAAUCUGCAGUGACUGAGGUCACAGUGAUUAAAAACUGGUUUUGGCCUGUGGACUUCACUUACAGGCUUCUUUCUGCCCUUCCCCCUGACUCCUCACACAGACACACACAAGACCAUCAGAGGUGGAGAAGAUGACAAGUUCAGCUUUGAAGAGGCUGCUUCCUUUCAAGGAUGGCUAUGCUGGACUGUCCCAAACAAUGAGCAUGGGGAAGCUAUGAGGAAAUCAGUCAGGGUGGUUGUGGCUAAUGGAUGGGAUCAUUUGAGACUACAGAUGAUAAGAGGAGUUCAAAGGCUAUGGGUGGAACUCAGGUAACA